GUCUUUGGAUACAGCGUCUCUCUCAUUUCUUUUCCUUCCUUCUCGCUCUUUCUUCCACACCCUCUAAUGUCUCAUGCAUGGUCCCCAUCUUGGGUCUCUCUCUGUGGCAUCCUAAGUUUUCCAGAUAAAACGUCCACUCACCAAUUCCCUCUUCAGUUGAUCUGUCUGCAGUUUAGCUAGUCACUCCCAUCUCAGUCUCUCUCUGCCUCUCCACACUCUCUCCACCAGCCUCUUACUUGCCUUUUCUCCUCAGCUCCUCCAGAGAAGCUGGGCUUUCUGCCCUGAGGCCUUUGUAUGUGCUGUUAGCUCUGCCUGGCAGAUCGCUGUCACCCAGCCUCCUUCUGGCUGCUGCUUCCUGUUCAUUCCUUGUUCUCAGCGACCUUACCCUGAGCCUCUGGGAAACUAGCUGGAUGAGAUGCUUCCUACUUCACUUGUUCAAGUCCCCUCUGAUUUCAUUUAGGUGACACUCCUCUGCCAUUCAUGGGCAUUUUUUCUCAAAAUUUUAUUUUCCUCUUGGUGGGAAAUUCCUGAAGGGCUACGCCUACCCCGUCUUCCCAGCACCUGGCUCAGAGAUGCGCACCUAGCAGCCUCUUCAAAGGAGGAUGACAUUUAUGGAUACAAGACUGAAAUCAGCCAACAGAGUCCGGCUGAAGGGUCACAUGCAGCUCCAUGAUGUCACCUGUGUCAUCUCCCUCGAGCCAAUAUCCUGACCUUUCCCAUCCAGCAGCUUCAUUCUCUCUACACACACAUCAGCAUAUUUUUGCCAUUUAAACACCAACUGAGACCGGCCAUGGGAGCUGUGUUCCAGUCCCGGGGGAGGAAGUCCGACUGGUGCACCCCCAUCCAGUCUACCUGUGGUGGGGUGACUGAGCACUAAGCCCACUCUCCACUCCGUCAGUAUUUCUGCCCAUCCCUGCUUCUAAGAUCGCCAUUCAACGGUCACCGUGCUGAGGCAGGAUCUGGAGAAGCUGUCACCCAGCUGGCUUCUACUGUUUUCUUUUUCCUACUGGCUUUUGUUUCCAGUUUUUGGGGUCCUCAGCUCUGGGUAAAGUCCUGCUUAACACCAAAUGGGAGCCUGUGUGCUCCAGGAAGCGGAGAGAGGACUGAGGAAGGGGACCCUCAUGUCAUCUUUGAUUCCUCUGGACCACAUGUGCUGAGGGCAUCCUGGAAGUGACAAGAAGUGGAUGGGAAAAUGGUGCUCUCUUGGCUCAGUGCUUCUCAAUCACGCCUGAAAAUUCCUCUGAAAAGGAUUCCUCUGAAAAUUCUGGCUGGCUUUGGUGGAGCUGGGUUCAGGCAUCACAGAAUUUUAGUACCACCCUGGUGAUUCUAGUGUGUAUCCAGGAUUGGGAACGUCUAUCUUGGGCUUCCUUGGUGGCUCAGUAGUAAGGAAUCUGCCUGCUAAUGCAGGAGACACGGGUUGACAUGGGUUUGAUCCUUGGGUGGGGAAGAUCCCCUGGAGAAGGAAAGGCAAUCCACUCCAGGAUUCUUGCCUAAAAAACCUCAUGGACAGAAAAGCCUGGUGGGCUACAGUCCAUGGUGUCGCAGAGUUGGACACAACUUAGCGGCUGAACAGCAACAUCUUGGCUCUGGUUUGUGGUUGUGAAAGAGAGUUAGAAAUGCCAGGGUGAGCUCCAAGGGUCAGCUCCCAGAGAAAAUGGCUUGUCUUUUUGUCUGUCUCUUGCUCCUUUAUCGUUUGACUUCCCAUGAACUCCCGUGUGGCAUCUGUUUUCUACUGCCACCGUGUAUCGGUGGCAUCAACGCAUGAAUUGCACUCUAUGUCCAGUUUUUGAGGAUCUUCUAACGAAGGGUGUGUAAGGCAGUUUAGGGGGCUGGAGCAGUUCUGCAUUGAUGCCAGGUC
ensembl:lncRNA